GACGUAGGGCGCGAGCGUUGUCCGGAUUUAUUGGGCGUAAAGAGCUCGUAGGCGGCUUGUCGCGUCGACUGUGAAAACCCGCGGCUCAACCGCGGGCCUGCAGCCGAUACGGGCAGGCUAGAGUUCGGUAGGGGAGACUGGAAUUCCUGGUGUAGCGGUGAAAUGCGUAGAUAUCUGGAGGAACACCGGUGGCGAAGGCGACGUCCUGGACCGGCAUUGACGCCUGAGGCGCGAAAGCCAGGGGAGCAAAGCGGG
rnacentral:rRNA from 1 species